GCCUCACUCACAUUCCUGAGGCAAUCUGGUUCCAGCUGAACUCCUUGGGAACAGUCUGGGCUAUGUACCCCUGGGGCAUCUGCCCCAAUUAGCAUUGACCCUUGUGGGCCUCCUUGCUGGCUCUAGGUUGCUCCCAACCUCUUGAACUCUGGGUAAACCAGAUUGCUUUAAGAGCCUCCAAAGCUUUCCACAGCCCCAAGAUGAACUGGACAUCCAGGCUCACCAACAGAAAUUCAGUCACCCUGUAGCGCCCAAAUCAACAUGGCCUCCUCCAGGUUCUCUGAGCCAGAGGAGAGACCCAUGUGUUGGGAUUAUUGCUAUGACUAAGAAACAAGAGGAAAGAAGGCUCAAAGAGUGCUUUGCCAGGCUAAACUCAGUAGUAUGUGGAAAGAGUACACAGGUCUAAAGCCUCACAGAACUAGCACUUCCAGGAACUGUGGGGUUGACAGAAGGGAUAUGCAACAGGUUCUGCAUCCUUGAGGAUCUCACUGCAAGAACAGCACAGAAAGAGCAUGACCCAACUCAAGAGGAGUCUAGACAUCGAGUUGCACAAGACUGAGUGUGCACAAUGGGAUUGGAGAGAAGUAACGGCAUGGGCUGCCAUGAUCAGGGAAAGCUGCACAGAAGUGUUGGGUUUGAAUGGUACAGGAUCUAUUUGCCAGAACAAUUUUUUUGAAGACCCAGGCUCUCAUCAUUUCAAGACAAGGGGUCCCUGGAUCAAAAUAGAACCAAAAGUUUCAUUUGGCAUCAAUCAACCUUAUCAGCAGAGUCCAGGGAUUAUCAGCAGAGACCGGGGCUUUUAUCAAGACACAGAGCACAAGUAAAUCCUAUAAUCUAAAUUUGCAACAUUUAUGACCUGGAAAGCAGCCCCAGGGGACCUCUUAGCUUAUCAGGAGAAAGCUACAUGAAGAGUUUAAACAAGAAAACCCUUUGGUUUUGAAGUAAUUUAAGAACUACAAAGAAGAUGUGAAAACAGUAUGGAUUCCAUAUAACCAUCACCCAGCUUCCACCAAUGAUAUUGUGCACAACCAUAGUAGAAAGUCGAAACCAGAAAAUUAACACUGGUCCGAUUCUAUUAACUUAGAUACAAAACUUAUUUGAAUGUUUAUGGAGGAUCUUUUCUAAUCUUGAAGUUGGGAGCUAAUUGGGAUCAUAUCUUGGUUCCAUUAAUCAGGCAAAUGAGACAAACUUACAGAUUAGUAUAUAAAGCUCUAAUUUAUAUAAUUAUUUUCCUUUUCAAAUAAUUUUAGAAUUUAAGAAGCUGUUAGUUUCUACCUACCUAGAAGUCUGGUCUACGCAUUCUGAAAAAGCAAAACACAAAGCCCUUCACAGUUCUAAAGAAAUGCAGAUAUGAGAAUCCCUGAUUUUAACCUCUAAGCUCAAGGCCCAUAUUUCCCUGAGAAAUGAAUUCCUCCUUUUCCUGUUAGUUCUGGAUAUUGCUGUGCAUUAGUGUUGAAAGGGAAAUAAAGCUGAGGCAGGCCCGAAAUUCAGCAAGCACUUAGACUCCAGCUAGAGGAGGACUACGACAGAGAGGAGCCAUCCACAUGCCUAGGGAGGGCCUGAAGGUCCUGUGAGAGACAUCCUUACUUGUGCUCCUUCAGCCUUUGCAAGUGCAGAAGCCACCUGCAGCCGGGCUGGUCACACACAGAAGGGCACAUACCACCUGUUCCUCACCCAGGCGGUAUUCUCCUUGCCGCAAAGCCUCCCGACUCACCACUUCUUCCAGUUCUGAAUGUGACAAAUUCGCAUCAAGUGAAAUUUGUUAAUUUGACGUAACAAAAAGAUAUGCAAAAGCGUUCUUUAAAAAAACAUCUAAAAAUACUAACACAAAGUCAGCUAUAAGUGAGGUACUGUCAUUUUUUCUGUUUCAUUAACUGAACGCUUCUGUUUUCCUCUUUUGUGUAACCCCACCCUGCAGGGUGGUCCACUUGAACUAAUGAAAUAUGGCUUUAAGUGUAUCAGGGUGGAGAUGACUCAUGCUCCAUAAUUAGAGUGCCUUGGGACUGAAAAACAGAGCUUUUGGUUUCAGGGCCAUCCAGG
rnacentral:lncRNA from 1 species